rnacentral:rRNA from 1 species
UACGUAGGGUGCAAGCGUUGUCCGGAAUUAUUGGGCGUAAAGAGCUCGUAGGCGGUUUGUCGCGUCUGCUGUGAAAUCUGGGGGCUCAACCCCCAGCCUGCAGUGGGUACGGGCAGACUAGAGUGCGGUAGGGGAGAUUGGAAUUCCUGGUGUAGCGGUGGAAUGCGCAGAUAUCAGGAGGAACACCGAUGACGAAGGCAGAUCUCUGGGCCGUAACUGACGCUGAGGAGCGAAAGCAUGGGGAGCGAACAGG